rnacentral:rRNA from 1 species
GGAGGGUGCAAGCGUUAAUCGGAAUUACUGGGCGUAAAGCGCACGCAGGCGGUUGGAUAAGUUAGAUGUGAAAGCCCCGGGCUCAACCUGGGAAUUGCAUUUAAAACUGUCCAGCUAGAGUCUUGUAGAGGGGGGUAGAAUUCCAGGUGUAGCGGUAAAAUGCGUAGAGAUCUGGAGGAAUACCGGUGGCGAAGGCGGCCCCCUGGACAAAGACUGACGCUCAGGUGCGAAAGCGUGGGGAGCAAACAGGAUUAGAUACCCUGGUAGUCCACGCCGUAAACGAUGUCGAUUUGGAGGCUGUGUCCUUGAGACGUGGCUUCCGGAGCUAACGCGUUAAAUCGACCGCCUGGGGAGUACGGCCGCAAGGUUA